UAAGCUGAAAGCCUAGAACCGCGUAGUGCAGCGACACAACCAGUGUCAUCGCGGUGCUUUUCGGUAUUCAGUAGUAAAACCCUACCAGUCGUUGUCCUGCUGUUUCUUAGCAACUCUAAUGGCAACCGCCAAAACGACCACAGAUGAAUCUGACGUUGGCAUCUUAUGCUAUAUCUCUCAACUCCCUGGCUUUCGCGGGAUUCUCAAGCAAAGAUACUCCGAUUUUAUAGUGAACGAAGUUGAUAACGAUGGAAAUGUAGUUCAUUUGACCUCUUUGGAAGUUCCUGCACAGCUUGCUGAGGCCGCAGAGGAGGGAGAGAAUAAGGUAUCGAAUCAAAUUGGGAAAAGUUACGCUUCUGAAAUCGAAGCGUUCAGGUCACUUGCUGGUGAUUCUGAUGGGGAGCGUUUUGAAGCUUUUCUCACUCAAUUUACUGCGGGAAGUGAAGAAAGCAAUAACAUUUCGCCAAUCCUUCUUUCUCCGGAUUCUGAUAAGGCCCAUCGAACGGCAAUGCAUAAUUUCUUCAAGGAGAAGUUCAAGUUCCUUGUUACUGAUACGGUUGAUGGACCUGAUGCUUCAUCUAAAUGUAUUCGGGUGAGAUUGAAUCCUGGAGGACAUAACAAUGGAGGUAGAAAUUCCAAGAAACGGAAGGACAGAAGUGGUAAGCCCUUUGAUAGCCGAGGUUCAUAUCAUUGGCCAGAGCACCUUGGCAAGUUUCUCAGGUUUCACCUCUACAAGGAGAAUAAAGAUACACAGGAAGCCAUAGGAUUAAUAGGAAAGAUGCUUGGCAUUCAGCCAAGAUCUUUUGGGUUUGCGGGCACAAAGGAUAAGCGCUCUGUGUCAACCCAAAGGGUUACUGUUUUCAGGCAGCAUGCUAGUAGACUAGCUGCUCUUAAUGACAGAUUGAUUGGUAUCAAAGUGGGUAACUUCUGCCAUGUCAAGGAAGGACUUGUUCUUGGGCAGCUCCUAGGUAACAGAUUCACAGUCACCUUACGAGGAGUCAUUGCAGAUUCUGAAACUACCAUCAAAGGUUCUGCAGAUUCAUUAGGAAGGCAUGGCUUCAUCAAUUACUUUGGUUUACAGCGUUUUGGUAGUGGUUCUGUGCCAACACAUCUAAUUGGGGCUGCAUUGCUCCGAGGAGAGUGGAAAAGUGCUGCAAGCAUGAUCCUUGAUCCAAGAGAAGGGGAAAGAGAUGUGGUGAGGAAGGCACGAGAAUAUUAUAGAGAAAGCAAUGAUAUUGAAGGGACCCUAAGGCAAUUACCUCGGCACUUGAUUGCUGAAAGGGCCAUACUUCAGUGUUUGAAGAAAUGUCCUGGGAACUACUUGCUGGCCCUGAAAGCUAUACCUAGAACUUUGAGGAUGAUGUAUGUGCACAGUUAUCAAAGCUAUUUAUGGAACCAUGCCGCAAGUGUGAGAGUACAAAAAUAUGGAAUUGACCGAGUUGUGGUGGGGGACUUGGUGUAUUGCAAAGGAGAUGAUACUGCAAGAGAGACAUCAGGAUUUAAUUCGGAAUGUGAAGAUCAUAGCUGUGAUGACAUGUAUGAUUGCAGUAAUUUAGAUGAAACCUCUGGAACAUAUGUUCCUGAAUGGAAAAACACUCCUGUUAAGGCAGUAACUGCAGAAGAUAUCUCUUCUGGAAAUUAUACUAUUGAUGAUGUGAUCCUUCCUGUGCCUGGCUCUAGGGUGUCUUAUCCAACAAAUGACAUUGCCAAAGUUUAUCAUGAUUUGUCAAAGAAGGAUGCUAUCAAUUUGGCUGAGAGUGUGCAUAGUGUCAAGGAAUUUUCAAUAACUAGCAUGACUGGAAGUUAUAGGCGUGUUUUUCAGAAGCCAAUGGACUUUGAAUGGGAAUUACUCUCAUAUACUGAUGGUAAUAUACCAUUGGCAGAGACAGAUUUUGACAGAAUUGCCAAGGUUAAAUCUAAGAGCUUAUUCAAAGAAGAAGAACAAGCCAAUGGAGAUGAGAAUAAAAACCCAUCUGAUUGCAUGGGACCACCAGCGAGCUUUCAAAAUAAUAUACAUGUAUCAACAGAUUAUAAUGAGACUGAGGGUGAGCGAGAAGUAGGGCGAGCAGAAGUUGAGUCUCUAUGCAACUCUAAUUCACAGGAAGCCCAAAUGGCUCUCAAGUUAAGCUUCACUCUUCCAGCUUCAUCUUAUGCAACAAUGGCCAUUAGAGAGCUGCUGAAGACAUCAACAUCUGUUGCAUUCCACAAAACAUUAAACCAGUAAGAUCAUAGACAUUUGUGGUGUCCAAACUGACAUUAUGCUUUUUCGGAGAUCAAAGGUUAGUUUUAGUGGAUGAUUAAAGUUCAAGUUUGUUGCUUGUGACACUUCUGGGAAAAGCUGUUAUUAACUAUUUGCAAAUGAAGGAAAAAAAAUUUUGAGGAUGCAUUCUUCCUUUGUCUGCAAUUGUUGGUGGCCAGAAAUCUUCAAAUGAAACUGAUUUCAUAGCUUCACAAGAAGAGUUGCUAUGUAAAAAGUUUUUAUGGGUGAACUUAAAUUUGAUGCUCCCUUGCAGCGACACUGGAUUCAUAAAUUUUUAGCUGGCGUUUUUCUUUGAUAGCAUAGCAUCGUAGCAACCAACUUUGUAUUUUGGUUAUUCCUUCCAAAAGCUUUGUUUGGCGUAGAGAACCACAUUGGAAUUUAGAUAACCAAUUUGUAUAGAUUCAAAUGGGGCUGCUGUCAAAAAAUUCAGAAAACUUGGAACAAAAAUGUUUCCAAGAUCGUUUGUGGACAAGAAAAGUUUGCUUUGGUUGGGAAAACUAGAGCUGGUUGGGCUCUUGGCAUCACAGUCACUGUCCUUUGAUCUGGUUGGUUUAUAGAGCGUGAUGGUCUUGGUUUUCAUAAGCAAUGGGUGUUGGGUGAGGAUGAACCUUGAAUCUGAGCAUCUUGCUGGGCACUCCAUUUGUUGAAGCUGUUCCGUUGCCUUGGGGUUUCAUGCUCCUUUUGGGUCUGUAUUUGGGUUCACUUUUGUGAUCUGAAUUGAGCCCUAGAAGAAGAUUCUAUGUUCGCCAAGUGAUUACGGGUUGCCAGUUGGACCUGUCUUCCUCUCCAAUUACUCAGCGAAGGCAUAGGCCAUCCACUUUUUUAUACAAAAUUGGCAGGGGCCUGCAAAAGUCUCCUCUCAUCAACCCAUCUUCCAUUUCCCAAAAAUAACAGGCAAAGAUUCUUUCUCCGAUGAAACCUUCUACGCUACUAGUGUUUCUUUGCUAGGUAACGUCCUCGAAAUUUAGGAGUCCACCUCCACCACCCAAUUCUUGAAUUCAUUAGGUGAAGCAUAUAGGGCACAAUUGAUUUAUUUUGUAAGUAGUAAAGGAAAUCAUCGUUUUAUAGUGUUAA